rnacentral:tRNA from 1 species
UGGACCUGUAAGCUAGUGGCAAACUGGGUCGUUUACACCGACCUCUCCGCGGUUCGAUCCCGCGCAGGUCCAU